CCUACGGGGGGCUGCAGUAGGGAAUAUUGCUCAAUGGGGGAAACCCUGAAGCAGCAACGCCGCGUGGAGGAUGAAGGUUUUCGGAUUGUAAACUCCUUUUGUUAGAGAAGAUAAUGACGGUAUCUAACGAAUAAGCACCGGCUAACUCCGUGCCAGCAGCCGCGGUAAUACGGAGGGUGCAAGCGUUACUCGGAAUCACUGGGCGUAAAGAGCGCGUAGGCGGGAUAGCAAGUCAGAUGUGAAAUCCUAUGGCUUAACCAUAGAACUGCAAUUGAAACUGUUAGUCUAGAGUACGGGAGAGGUAAGUGGAAUUCUUAGUGUAGGGGUGAAAUCCGUAGAGAUCAAGAGGAAUACUCGUUGCGAAGGCGACCUGCUAGAACGUAACUGACGCUGAGGCACGAAAGCGUGGGGAGCAAACAGGAUUAGAUACCCGGGUAGUC
rnacentral:rRNA from 1 species